rnacentral:sRNA from 1 species
AGGAAUAAAACCACAGAAGAAAAUGGAGAGAAGGGGACUGAAAUAUUCAGAGCUUCUGCAGUGAUUCCCAGCAAGGACAAAGCCGCCUUUUUCCUGAGUUAUGAGGAGCUUCUGCAGAGGCGCCUGGGCAAGUACGAGCACAGCAUCAGCGUGCGGCCCCAGCAGCUGUCCGGGAGGCUGAGCGUGGACGUGAAUAUCCUGGAGAGCGCGGGCAUCGCAUCCCUGGAGGUGCUGCCGCUUCACAACAGCAGGCAGAGGGGCAGUGGGCGCGGGGAAGAUGAUUCUGGGCCUCCCCCAUCUACUGUCAUUAACCAAAAUGAAACAUUUGCCAACAUCAUUUUUAAACCUACUGUAGUACAACAAGCCAGGAUUGCCCAGAAUGGAAUUUUGGGAGACUUUAUCAUUAGAUAUGACGUCAAUAGAGAACAGAGCAUUGGGGACAUCCAGGUUCUAAAUGGCUAUUUUGUGCACUACUUUGCUCCUAAAGACCUUCCUCCUUUACCCAAGAAUGUGGUAUUCGUGCUUGACAGCAGUGCUUCUAUGGUGGGAACCAAACUCCGGCAGACCAAGGAUGCCCUCUUCACAAUUCUUCAUGACCUCCGACCCCAGGACCGUUUCAGUAUCAUUGGAUUUUCCAACCGGAUCAAAGUAUGGAAGGACCACUUGAUAUCAGUCACUCCAGACAGCAUCAGGGAUGGGAAAGUGUACAUUCACCAUAUGUCACCCACUGGAGGCACAGACAUCAACGGGGCCCUGCAGAGGGCCAUCAGGCUCCUCAACAAGUACGUGGCCCACAGUGGCAUUGGAGACCGGAGCGUGUCCCUCAUCGUCUUCCUGACGGAUGGGAAGCCCACGGUCGGGGAGACGCACACCCUCAAGAUCCUCAACAACACCCGAGAGGCUGCCCGAGGCCAAGUCUGCAUCUUCACCAUUGGCAUCGGCAACGACGUGGACUUCAGGCUGCUGGAGAAACUGUCGCUGGAGAACUGCGGCCUCACACGGCGCGUGCACGAGGAGGAGGACGCAGGCUCACAGCUCAUCGGGUUCUACGAUGAAAUCAGGACCCCGCUCCUCUCUGACAUCCGCAUCGAUUAUCCCCCCAGCUCAGUGGUGCAGGCCACCAAGACCCUGUUCCCCAACUACUUCAACGGCUCCGAGAUCAUCAUUGCGGGGAAGCUGGUGGACAGGAAGCUGGAUCACCUGCACGUGGAGGUCACCGCCAGCAACAGUAAGAAAUUCAUCAUCCUGAAGACAGAUGUGCCUGUGGGGCCUCAGAAGGCAGGGAAAGAUGUCACAGGAAGCCCCAGGCCUGGAGGCGAUGGAGAGGGGGACCCCAACCACAUCGAGCGUCUCUGGAGCUACCUCACCACAAAGGAGCUGCUGAGCUCCUGGCUGCAAAGUGACGAUGAACCGGAGAAGGAGCGGCUGCGGCAGCGGGCCCAGGCCCUGGCUGUGAGCUACCGCUUCCUCACUCCCUUCACCUCCAUGAAGCUGAGGGGGCCGGUCCCACGCAUGGACGGCCUGGAGGAGGCCCACGGCAUGUCGGCUGCCAUGGGACCCGAACCGGUGGUGCAGAGUGUGCGAGGAGCUGGCACGCAGCCAGGACCUUUGCUCAAGAAGCCAUACCAGCCAAGAAUUAAAAUCUCUAAAACAUCAGUUCGUGGCUUCAGAAGGGAAGAACAGAUUUUUUCAAAUGUCAUGAAAUUUCCUUUUGCCAGCAUCCUGGAACUAUAAUAAAAAUUCAGAGGAAAGAACAACCUAUGACGGUUUUGUUCUGCUGUGUCCAGAUCAUCCUCUGGAAGUCUUGAUUGUUGCCUUUCUGCUGCUGUGCUGUACGUGCAAGUUCCUAAAGCCAGGGACAUCCCGGAGAUGAGCUGUGGAUAUAAAGUCCGCACAGCCUGCGGGAGACAGAAUGUAAUUCCUUCCAACACACAUACAGGCUUUAUGGAAUGCCAGAAAAGCUUCCUCUUGGAUGCUGCCUGGAGUAAUGACUUUUUGACCCUCCCCUCUUUUUUGGAGCAAGCACUAUAUUUCCUUGUAAAGAAAUUUGGACAAUUUGAGUAGAAAUGGUGUGGUAUGUGCACAUAGAAACUCUCAGAAAACUGUCAGAUGAGCUAGACAGUUGUCCUCUAUCUCCAUGGGUCCCACGUCCCAAGGAUCGAACCAACAACAGAUCAAAAAUACGUGAAAAAGGAAUUGCAUCUGUAUUGAAUGUGUACGGACUUUCUUUCUUGUCUUUGUUCCUUAAACAAUGUAGUGUAACAACUAUUUACGUCGCAUCUCCUUUGCAUUCAUUAUUAUAAGUAAACUAGAGAUGAUUUAAAGUGUAUAGAAAGGCUGUGUGCAGUGGCUAACGUCUGUAAUCCCAGCACUUUGAGAGGCCAAGGCAGGUGGAUCACCUGAGGUCAGGAGUUCGAGACCAGCCUGGCCAACAUGGUGAAACCCCAUCUCUACUAAAAAUACAAUAAUUAGCUGGGCAUAGUGGUGCACGCCUGUAAUCCCAGCUAUUCAGGAGGCUGAGGCAGGAGAAUCGCUUGAACCCAGGAGGCAGAGAUUGCAGUGAACCGAGAUUGCACCAUUGCACUCCAGCCUGGGCGACAGAGUGAACCUCCGUCUCAAAAACAAAAUAAAUAAAUAAAAACAAAUU